rnacentral:rRNA from 1 species
GACGAACGCUGGCGGCGUGCUUAACACAUGCAAGUCGAACGAUGAAGCCGGAGCUUGCUCUGGCGAAUUAGUGGCGAACGGGUGAGUAACACGUGAGUAACCUGCCCUUGACUCUGGGAUAACUGCUAGAAAUGGUAGCUAAUACCGGAUACGACCCUCGGAGGCAUCUCCAGGGGGUGGAAAGAAUUUCGGUCAAGGAUGGACUCGCGGCCUAUCAGCUGGUUGGUGAGGUAACGGCUCACCAAGGCGACGACGGGUAGCCGGCCUGAGAGGGGGACCGGCCACACUGGGACUGAGAGACGGCCCAGACUCCUACGGGAGGCAGCAGUGGGGAAUAUUGCACAAUGGGCGCAAGCCUGAGGCAGCAGCGCCGCGUGAGGGAUGACGGCCUUCGGGUUGUAAACCUCUUUUAGUAGGGAAGAAGCGAAAGUGACGGUACCUGCAGAAAAAGCACCGGCUAACUACGUGCCAGCCGCCGCAGUAA